GGUGUAAAGCUAGCCAUGAGAAGUCAGCAGAGGGCAAAGUACCGGAUCACGGGUUGGUUUGGGAAGGCU
rnacentral:ncRNA from 1 species